rnacentral:rRNA from 1 species
GUAGGUGGCAAGCGUUGUCCGGAAUUAUUGGGCGUAAAGCGCGCGCAGGCGGUUCUUUAAGUCUGAUGUGAAAGCCCACGGCUCAACCGUGGAGGGUCAUCGGAAACUGGAGAACUUGAGUACAGAAGAGGAAAGCGGAAUUCCACGUGUAGCGGUGAAAUGCGUAGAGAUGUGGAGGAACACCAGUGGCGAAGGCGGCUUUCUGGUCUGUAACUGACGCUGAGGCGCGAAAGCGUGGGGGAGCAAACAGGAUUAGAUACCCUGGUAGUCCACGCCGUAAACGAUGAGUGCUAAGUGUUAGGGGGUUUCCGCCCCUUAGUGCUGCAGCUAACGCAUCAAGCACUCCGCCUGGGAGUACGGCCGCAAGGCUG